UAGGGAAUCUUCGGCAAUGGACGAAAGUCUGACCGAGCAACGCCGCGUGAGUGAAGAAGGUUUUCGGAUCGUAAAACUCUGUUGUUAGAGAAGAACAAGGACGUUAGUAACUGAACGUCCCCUGACGGUAUCUAACCAGAAAGCCACGGCUAACUACGUGCCAGCAGCCGCGGUAAUACGUAGGUGGCAAGCGUUGUCCGGAUUUAUUGGGCGUAAAGCGAGCGCAGGCGGUUUCUUAAGUCUGAUGUGAAAGCCCCCGGCUCAACCGGGGAGGGUCAUUGGAAACUGGGAGACUUGAGUGCAGAAGAGGAGAAUGGAAUUCCAUGUGUAGCGGUGAAAUGCGUAGGUAUAUGGAGGAACGCCAGUGGCGAAGGCGGCUCUCUGGUCUGUAACUGACGGUGAGGCUCGAAGGCGUGGGGAGCAAACAAG
rnacentral:rRNA from 1 species